CCGCCUGCCUCCGGGCCUCACCAAGGAGCAGCUGGAGGAGCAGCUGCGCCCGCUGCCAGCACACGACUACUUCGAGUUCUUCGCCGCCGACCUGAGUCUUUAUCCUCAUCUCUACUCAAGAGCAUACAUUAAUUUUAGGAAUCCUGAUGACAUCCUUCUUUUUAGAGAUCGUUUUGAUGGAUAUAUCUUCCUUGACAGCAAAGAUCCAGAAUAUAAGAAGUUUUUAGAAACCUACUGUGUGGAGGAAGAGAAGACCAGUGCCAACCCUGAGACUCUGCUGGGGGAGAUGGAGGCGAAGACAAGAGAGCUCAUUGCUAGAAGAACCACACCUCUUUUGGAAUAUAUUAAAAAUAGAAAAUUAGAAAAGCAGAGAAUUCGAGAAGAGAAGCGAGAAGAACGGAGGAGAGAGUUAGAAAAUAAACGUUUGCGGGAAGAGGAAAAAAGAAGAAAAGAAGAAAGAUGCAAAAAAAAAAAAAAAGAGAGAGAGAGACAGAUAAACAGAAGAAAAUUGCAGAGAAAGAAGUAAGGAUUAAGCUUCUUAAGAAACCAGAAAAGGGAGAGGAACCAACCACAGAGAAACCAAAAGAAAGAGGAGAGGAGAUUGAUACUGGAGGUGGCAAGCAGGAAUCCUGUGCUCCCGGUGCAGUCGUAAAAGCCAGGCCCGUGGAAGGCUCGCUGAAGGAGCCCCAGGAGACGUCACACAGCGGCAGUGAUAAAGAGCACAGGGAUGUGGAGAGAUCUCAAGAACAAGAAUCUGAAUCACAAAGACACCAUGUGGAUGACGGCAGGAGGCACAGAGCUCACCACGAGCCUGACCGGCUUUCCAGAAGGAGUGAGGAUGAGCAGAGAUGGGGGAAAGGACCUGGCCAAGACAGAGGGAAGAAGGGGAGCCAGGACAGCGGGGCUCCGGGGGAGGCCAUGGAGAGACUGGGAAGAGCGCAGAGGUGUGACGACAGUCCAGCACCCAGAAAAGAGCGACUGGCAAACAAGGACCGGCCAGCCUUGCAGCUGUAUGAUCCAGGAGCUCACUUCCGAGCGCGAGAGUGUGGCGGAAACAGGAGGAUCUGCAAGGCAGAAGGUUCGGGGACUGGUCCUGAGAAGAGGGAAGAGGCAGAGUGAGUCACUGCACGCACCUGGCCUCCAUGGACGAGCGAGGGCAUCCCAGAAACGUGUAAAUGACCCCGAGUGUGACUGGGAAGGAGAACUUAUUCCUUACCAGGAAACUGGAAGCUAAAAAUACAGAGGGUGACAUAGAAACACGCAGAAACCAUUCUAAAGAAAGUAGUGAUCUUGUAUUAAAUUGAGCAGAAUUCUCACAGAUUUUACCAUUCCUGUUAUAAACUAGUAUUUGUUGUUUAGCCAAAACAGAAAAUGAUUUCCACUGGACAGUAGAAAAAUAUGUGUAAAAUAGGGAAGAAAGUUAGUAUUGGAUCAGUGUGAGUCCUGAAGCACUUUCAGUGCUGUGAGAACGACAUCCACUUUGGGUUUCAUUCGUUUGUAAGCAGAGGAGCUGUCAGUCACUCGUGCUUCUCGGUGGCCUCUGAGCCAUGGUGUCGAGUGAAGAGUAGUUCUUGUUUGUUACAACCUUUGUGAGUCA
rnacentral:lncRNA from 1 species